GCGGAAGUCUUCUAACAGCAAGAUGCCCUUCAACCGAAGGGAAAUGCAGGUGCGACUCCUGUCCUUCCGCUCCA
rnacentral:tRNA from 1 species